rnacentral:ncRNA from 1 species
GUAGGAGGAGUCAGGGUCUGACUGUGUGCCUAUUGAUGAAUGGACCGGAGACUCAUAGAAAGUGGCUUUAAUGAGGAAAACCACCAUAGCCAUAGCGAAUGUGAGUCUUCAUAGGGAAAUUUUCACUACUUAUAAACUCAAACCUGGGUGAUCUAUCCUUGACCAAUAAAAAGCUUGAGUGAAACUAAGUAGAGGUAUGAUCGACUAAUGUUGAAGAAUUAGUGGGUGAGUUGUAGUUAGGGGUAAAAUAUCACUCGUACCUAGAGCUAGUUGGUUCUCUUCGAAAUGCAUUAAGGCUCAGCAGUUGAUUGGAUAUCUGGGGGUAAAUUAUGAUAUUAAUGCGGGCCACAAAAAAGUACCAAAUUAAGGCAAAAUCAAAAUACAAGAUACGACCUCAAAACAACAGAGGGGCAAGGUCAACUAGUUAGAUGAUGGGGGAUAAGAUUCAUCAUCAAGAAAGAAAGAGCAUGAAUCACCAGUUAAGGCCCCUAAAUUACCGCCUAGUUAUAAACAAGGUAGGAGUGCGGAGAUGGACAAGAGGUUUGCCUAUAAGGAACCUCUCUUUAAAUAGUGCAUAAUAGCUCACUGAUUGAGCGCUUUUUUGCAGAAGAUGAAUGGGGCUAAGUGUUCUACCAAAGCUAUAGGAUGUCAAAGUACAUCAAUGGAUAUAUUUAAAUUCCUUGUUCGCUCUUUCUAGU